GUUGGAAGCAAGCUUUUUGGGAAAGGGUGGGGUUGGCGCCCCCCAUCCCCCGCAGCAAAGCGGCACCGUUGACACCCGCAAGCUCCUGUAGAUCUUCUAUAUACCAUGGGGCCAAUUUCGAAGAGGGUUGGAGAAGACGCUUAGGAGUGAUCAUGUCUACUGCCUUGGAAAUGUCCCACCAAGUACAGCUCUCCUCCAGUGUCUUGUAUGUUCUGGCAAAUGCUCAGGGUAUCCCUCUAUUGACUCCUCUGCCAGUCAUCCACUCUACUCUGUUCCUUCCCUUGUCUCUUCUUCGACACGUGACCCGCUCUUCACCAAAGAGUAAACAGAAUGAUGAAGUCAGGAAAUAAAGAAACCAUGAACUAGAAGCAAAAAAGAUCUUUAGAAGGGAGCAGCAAAUAACUACAGCAAAAAGGCACCUUUUACUGAGCAACCAGAAGAUACCUUAUGCAGAUCACCUGGAGGUUGGUGCCCAGUAUUGAUCUUGCUUAUGGUUUAUAAGGCUUGAAAUUGCUACUGAGUCCUACAACAGUUCAUAGACACAAUUCAUCUUCACACACAGAGUCACCAGAAUGAGACAAGUCACAAUCAAAUAAUUUAAAGAAGGGAGACAUUUGGUGCAGUAUGAAUGCCUGGCGCAGUAUCUAAUGACAGUACAGAAAACCAUGAACCAUUAUGAGGCUCCAAGAAACAAAAUGGAAACCGGAAAUGACCUCUGCAGUCAUUUCCGGCCAAACCCAUCCUGUGGAUACAUGAGGUCAACGUAUUCACCCCCACAUGCAUGCUGAGGUUGGGUGUCUUUUUACAUUCUGGCAGGGAUUGCAAAUGCAGAAAUCAAUUGUAUUUCUGAAUCUAUGCUAAAUAUGUAAUACAGGGAAACCUCUUUAUCCGCAGAUUCGCGGAUUACCUGGAGAUAACGAGGUCUCCCUAUAUUACAUUUUUAGCAUAGAUAUAGGAAUACAAUUGAUUUCUGCAUUUGUAAUCCCUGCCAGAAUGUAAAGUGAACUUCAUCCCUUGCAGAAACAAGCAAGAAGAAACUACUAAUGAUAUUGUUAUUGUUGGCAAAGUUCUAGUGAUGAGCUUUCCUCCGGUCUGUUUGCACACAUCUAUGUUUGGAAUCGGACUGAAAUAACAGUAGGCAGUCUCUAACAUUUCAAUCUAAACUUGAAAUUUGGAAUUUGAUAAGCAGUUUUGGAAUUUCCUUCAGACCUGUUUUUGCUUCCGUCAAUUUCUGAUAGAAAAUACGAGUCUUUCUGACAAUAGCACUAUAUCCUGAAAAUGAAUAUAUUCCAAAUGGAUUCGUCUUUUGUCAUUUUCAGCCACUUUCUUUAUAUAAUGCUUAGAAGGGCUUCCCAAGGAUUGAUCAAACUGAUAAAUAAAAGCCCUAUAUAGAAAAAGGCACUUGUAAAUGUGUUAGCAAGUAACAAGUAGAGCUUUAGGAAAUCAGAUUGGCAAUAUAACUUAAUUCCUGGCACCAUUUUAAAGAUGUUGGUGAAAGUGCAUCAUUAGGAGCAGAUAAUGUAGAAAACUAGGGAACCUAGAAAACUAGGCAUGAGCAAGAUUCUGAUCAUAGCUUUUCAUCCAGCAAUAUAAAGAAUUAUUGUUUUCUUGGCUAUCUUUCCAAGAAUAUAAACAAUCUUUCCAUAUAUAAACAAUUUCCUAUGUUAUUGCUAAGGAUAUUUUGUGGUUUAGUCAAUAUGCUACAGUAACAAGCUGUAUUCCAUGAGAGUUGCUGCCCAGGUAAAUACUGCUGUCCUUAUCUGACAAACUGUUCUGUACGUGGGAGCUCUGGUACACAUAUGGAGUCUCUGACUUCGAAUAGCUUCUCCAUUCAUUUAAAAGAAAUGUAUACAGAGUUCAGUCUCCUCCACUGAAAUUUGUGAGUAUUUGUGCACAAAGUAGUACAAGAAGUCCUUUGUGGAUCUGAGUAGCCACAUACUCCUUCAUUAGAGUAUGUGGUUGUAACUGAAUUAAUUCUAUCAAUGGGGCACAGACAUUUGUAACUGCUUGUGGGAUUGCAGCCUUUAAUUAUUAUCAUUACCACUAGGCAAUGUUUAUGCUUGUGAGUCUCACAGCAGCAUUCCUCACCACUACUUAUUGAUAAAAAUCAUUCUGCAAAUCCCAGUCAAACAGACUGACUUGUGAAAAACACUACAUAGUAAAAAUAAACCAACCAUCUCAGCCCCGCUGUUUACAGGGUUUUCCCUUUUCACUCAGCAGAAUCAUACUUUUUCAAAAGUCUGUGAGACAGGGAAAAUCUACAAACUGUUGCCAUAUUCAUUUUGCCGUUAUAUGUGUUAGAUAAGUACUGCAUCUAAAUUGCUCAGUUGGUAUAACAUAAAGAACAUCAACAAGCCACCUAACAAUAUAAUGGAAUCACUCUGUGCUACCUUGAAAAGCAAAAUGUUUUAAUUAUAAUUUGAUCAUGUAUUUCUGACUCACUACAUUUCUUUUGAAAAGACUG